rnacentral:rRNA from 1 species
GGAGGGGGCUAGCGUUGUUCGGAAUUACUGGGCGUAAAGGGCGCGUAGGCGGUAUGCCAUGUCAGGGGUGAAAGGCCUGGGCUCAACCCAGGAACUGCCUUUGAAACUGGCAAACUAGAGUCCGAUAGAGGAUGGCGGAAUUCCCAGUGUAGAGGUGAAAUUCGUAGAUAUUGGGAAGGACACCAGUGGCGAAGGCGGCCAUCUGGAUCGGCACUGACGCUGAGGCGCGAAAGCGUGGGGAGCAAACAGGGAUUAGAUACCCUGGUAGUCCACGCCGUAAACGAUGUGUGCUAGACGUUGGGGGCCCUUAGGCCCCUGGGUGUCGCAGCUAACGCGUUAAGCACACCGCCUGGGGAGUACGGCCGCAAGGUUA